AAAAUUAAAGCGUACUUCUUGCAACCAUUACAAACAAUUCAAAAAUGUGCAAAAUAAAGAGGGAGCAUCUGCCUAGGAUGUAAGAUUUGGAGAAAGGAAGAAAAUGUUCAGCAUCCAAGGAGAGGAGCUAAGUGAUCGGGGGUAGAUAGCUAACUGAAGAGCACAAUCCAAAAAGCAAAGGAGAACCAAGUCAGAAAAGAAUGUCUCCAAAGCCAAGGCCAGAAAAACCAAGAUUCGCAAAAGGAGGACCCACCAUCACCUGCCCAUGAGGAUCUUGCUCCAUAGCUCCCCCAGUGUGGCAACAUGGAGGGAGGGAGAGGGACAGGAAGUGACGUCAGAAGAGGCCAGCGAGAACGCCCAGCAAGCUUAACGCUUGGGCUGUUCUUGCCAUCAGCACAAGGCUGAGAAGACGAUUCUGCUAUCAUGAGCGUUCUUCUUUAUGUCCUUGGCAUGGAGAGAACUGGCCACUGUUCUCAAGAGUGUUCCUCGUCCUGGCCGGCCAGCUUGCGCUGCUGGCAAAACAGCCAGCCAAGCCAGGGCACAGUUUUGCGGGACUUCGGGAGAAGCACAGACCACCCCGGCCUCAUCAGCCUGAGGCACCCAUGCCCUGGGCUGGGUCUGCAGCUACAGGUCAGCGUCCACGUGCAGGACAUAGGACAAAAGCUUCAGAAGAGGUCGGCAGCCCAUUCUGAUGGAGUUCUGACCAACUACAGGGGCCAAGCCCCAGUGAGCUGCGCUCUGAAGACUUGCCAGGCUUUCUAUUAAUGCCAGUUCCUGCAAACGGCCUGUACCCUGCCCUACUGCCCUCAGCCAGCUCCUCCACCUUGGGAGGCACCUACCAGAGUGUCUCCAGAAAGUCAAAGGCCACCCUAACCUGAGGUCAUUAACCUAGGACCUUGAACAAAGUUUAAGGUCCAAGUUCACAACUGCCACUGCUCUGCUGAGGAGGUAAUGAGAAGACCCCGUCUAAUGAGCUCCCUCAGUGAAGUAGCUCGAGCCCCUUGCAGGUUCCCUGGGAAAUUGGAUCAACUGCCCACCUCCCAAAACAACCGUGUUAGCAGUGUGGAUGCAGCUUGUUUUUAAAUAUCUAUAUGAGUAGCCAAUUAAUUGAUGUGACUGGCCCAAAGGAAGAAAUU
rnacentral:lncRNA from 1 species